GGGGUUGUGGCUCAGCAGUAGAGCACUCGCCUAGCAGGCGCGAGGCCCUGGGUUCAAUUCUCAACACCA
rnacentral:tRNA from 1 species